AUUGAACGCUGGCGGCAUGCCUUACACAUGCAAGUCGAACGGCAGCGGGGGAGAAGCUUGCUUUUCCUGCCGGCGAGUGGCGAACGGGUGAGUAAUACAUCGGAACGUGCCCUGGAGUGGGGGAUAACUAGUCGAAAGAUUAGCUAAUACCGCAUACGACCUGAGGGUGAAAGUGGGGGACCGCAAGGCCGCAUGCGAUAGGAGCGGCCGAUGUCUGAUUAGCUAGUUGGUGGGGUAAAGGCCUACCAAGGCGACGAUCAGUAGCUGGUCUGAGAGGACGAUCAGCCACACUGGGACUGAGAAACGGCCCAGACUCCUACGGGAGGCAGCAGUGGGGAACUUUGGACAAUGGGCGAAAGCCUGCUCCAGCAAUGCCGCGUGUGUGAAGAAGGCCUUCGGGUUGUAAAGCACUUUUGUCCGGAAAGAAAUGGCUCUGGUUAAUACCUGGGGUCGAUGACGGUACCGGAAGAAUAAGGACCGGCUAACUACGUGCCAGCAGCCGCCGUAA
rnacentral:rRNA from 1 species